CCAUAUAACAUAGAUUAAGUAUAGGUUAAAGCUAUAUAAAGUGAGUUUCCAUACCAGAGAACUAUUAGAGGUAUCCUCCUUCGCUUUACCGGCAAAGAAACCAUGACCAAGGGGACUAUAUGCAACAAUCCCAAUUCCGAGUUCCCUGCAUUGUUGAACACAUUUAGGCAGACAUAACCUCAGAGCAGUUGAAGGACUUAAAACAGUUGAUAACUUGAGAAAAGACAAUCAAUAAGUGAAUUUCAAUCUAUUUGAGCAAAAGGGUAUAUUUAUAUCCCUCCAAAUAUAUAAAAAAUUGAAUAUACCUAUAUUCGAAAAAAAAAAUUACGAUGAUUGAAGAUAGAAGAAUAAACCUGCAAAGGGGAAUUAGUUCUUCCUCAACAUCACGAGUCCAGAGCGACCACUCAAGUUGUACAGCAGUAAGAGGAUGAACAGCGUGUGCCCUCCUUAUAGUUUCGGGGCUAGCUUCAGAUAUGCCAAUGUACUUUAUUUUUCCCUCUUCCACCAACUUCUUCAGUUCUUCCAUCUAUCAUACAUGAAAUAAAUAUAAAUUAUGCUUAAUUUUCCCAUAAACAAAACAAAAUUGUAUUUGUGUUAAAGAAAGACAAAAUAGGGUUUUUAAUGCAGCAAUGCUUACGGUAUCUUCUAUAGGAGUCUUGCGGUCAACUCUGAUUAUAUAGUAAAGAUCAAUAUAAUCCACAUCAAGGCGUUGAAGGCUAGCCUCAAGUGAAGAACGAACAAAUUCAGGAGUGCCAUUGAUAACCGGACCAUCUGGACCCAUGCUUUCAACACCGAAUUUUGUAGCCAACUGUACCUUCUCUCGUGGCAGAUGCUUCAAUGCCUGCAAAAAAAGAAAUGAUGUUGAUUUCCCAGAUUCCUUUAACGAGCCAAGAACCAGAAUGAAAACAUUAAAUCAUAUCGAUUUGAUAAACUAAAAAAUUCCAUCUCUCACGCAUAUCUUCGAAUAUGUAAUAGACACAAGAGUGUGGGAAAUUGAGAACAUGAAAGAAUCGCUCUCAGUUUCAAUGUGAUUAAGCUUGAAGAGAUGACGAAAGGAUGUUACCUUUCCGACCAGAAUUUCGUUAGUUUUGGGUCCAUAGAAGUCGGCUGUAUCGAUGUGAGUGACUCCUCUUUCGACUGCAUGCUUAAUGAUGGCUAUGCCAUCUUCAGCUGACACUGAAUGAUCGUGACCUGUAAGACUCAUACACCCAAAUCCCAGCUUUGAAACCUGCAGCAACCAAAAAAUAAUAGAUUUUACCCCCCAAAAGAAAACGCCAUUUUCUUAACUAAUAUAAACUAGUAGGAAACAAAAUCUCAAACCUCAAAUCCUUGAGUUCCAAGUUUCACUCUAGGAAUCUCAAUUGCCAUCUUUUGUUUCCUUUUUCUUCUUCUUCUUCUUUGUGUGCUAUAAACAAAGGCUUCUCUGAUUACUGAACCUCUCAAAACUUACAUUAAAUAGAAAAUUUUGAGGUCUUUAUCCAGUAUCUUAUCUUGUUCUCAGCUUUGUUAACAUUCUUACGUCAUUAAGUAUGUCAUCCCAUAUGCCUCAAUUGAAUGAGUGGAUAAAGCUCUUUUUCAGACACGUUUGACACUGUUUAAAUUGGUUAAAUAUAUCAUUUGGUACCUAAGUUUGAUCUUUUUUCUAAUUUGAUAUUUGUGUUAUUUUAAGGUAAAUGACAAAAAUGGUCACUAAAUUGGGGUGAAAUUUCCUUUUUUGCCUCUAAACUAUGAAAAGUUACAUUUUUAUCACUAAAGUUAUUUACUUAUAACAUUUUUAUCACUCGUCUGUUAAUAGAAAAGUGAGGUGUGGUACAUUAAUUUAAGGAUUAAUAUCUAAUUUGAUCAUUAAACUAUAGUUAAGAUAUAAUUUGAUAUUUUUAUAACAUUUUUAAUAAGAAAAAAAUAAAAAAAUCCUAAAAAUUUAUUAUUUAUUUUUUGAAAUUAUGAAAAUAUUUUUAAAAAUUGUAAUUAUGUAAAAAAAUUAUAAAAAUUUUAUAACAAGCAAAACACGUAUUUUACAAAUUAAAAGAAAAAUACGUUUUUAUUGGUAUAGCAUAAAACCAUUUUGCAUAAUAUCUUGGAUAUAAUUAAAUCUGAUCAACUCGUCUGCUACUGUAGCUUUCAGUGCUGAAAAGCAAGCCAAGCCUUUUCCUUUGAGCAGCUACAGGGAAACCGACAAUGAUUGAACUAUUAGACCCAAGCUGCGUUACAGCCGCGCAGCUCUACGUAAAGUCAUGGUCACGUAGUGCAAAUACGUAUUUUGUUUAUUAUAUAAUUUAUAUUUUUUUUGUUUUAUUUUUUACAUGAUUAUAAUUUUAAAAAAUAUAAUUUCAAAUAAAUGAUGAAUUUUCAAAAUAAUUUAAGAUUUUUUUAUAUUUUUAGAAUUUUUAUUUUUUUGAAAUUAUUGUUAAAAAUGUUAUAAAAGUACUAAAUUGAAUGUUUAAGCUAUAAUUUAGGGAUCAAAUUGGAUAUUAAUCCUUGAAUUAGAGGCCAAAAUAUUAUAAGUUGAUAACUUUAGUGACUAAAAUAUAACUUUUCAUAGUCUAGUAAAAAAAAUCACCAAAGUUUAAUGAUCAUUUUUAUAGUUUACCCUUAUUUUUAUUCAAUAUGAUACAUAUGCUUGACAAGAAAAAAAAAUGUCAUCUCAUAUUUUUUUUUGUUUGAUAUAACAUUUCGUACUCAAGUUUGAAUUUUUUUUAAUGCCAAAUCUAUGUUAUUUUUAUCCAAUAUAAUACAUGCAUUUAAAAAAAAUUUAUAUAUUUUCGUAUCUAAAAAUAAAAAUAUUAAUUUUCUAGAUUCGGGUUUUAAUAUUAAUUUAGUGAAAAAUAACUUCUAAUAUUUAAUGUUUGAAUUUUUCAUGAUUUUCUUAAUAGAUUAAAUUUAGUAUUAUUUGUAAAUUUGUUUAGUUUUGCAUUAAAUUAUUUAAAUACAACUUGAUGGAUAUGAUUUAAUUCAAGUUUUAGGAUCGAUGUGAUGAAAUUUAAUUGCUAAUAUUAUCAGCCAAUUACGAAUUUUCAUCCAACUCUAAAAUUCGGAUUAAACAUUAAAAAGUUGGCAUCUUUAACUUCAGGUAUCAGUUCUGGAAUAAACACUAAAAAGUUACCAUUGUUAGCUUUUGGUAUCAAAAUAUAUAACUUUUGUCAAAUAUAAGUACCAUUUCUAUAUAGACUUCCUCGUCAAUUUCAUCAACAAUGCAAGCUUACAUUUAAUUUAUAGUCUUUUCAAGUACAGCAGUAGUCGGAUCUGAUUGGACAAUGACUCUAAUUUCCUCUAAAAAUCCUUCUUGAGUUUAGCUCGAUUAGUACGGAUCAUUUGGGACCAACUUAUUAAAUUAGAUCCCAUAGCCUUUAUUUUUUCCAGAAAGGUACCGUUGGAAAGGUCCCGUGACCUCUCUGACCUCACCUUGGCAGCUUUCCUCCAUAACUCGAGAGGCCUCCAUUCUGAAAUUCCUUGUAGAAUUGGAUAGUCCAGCUCGAGAAAUAAAAUCUUCAGUACAAAUAUUAAUGUGUAGUGAUCCAACUGGGGUAUACCAGGUGCUGGACUGAGUAGCGUGGAAAAAGAGACCACCAGUUCAAGUUCGCCACACAUUGGUCUAGUCUCCCACAAACGUUGGUUACCAUCGUUAAGCCUUUUUCCCAUGUGAACUAAGGACUAUUGCAAACUCUACCACCCUGUUAGAAAGUGCAACUUAUCAUUGAAUUUUGAGUACGAAGGACAAGAGGGAAACUAAAUACUAUUUGGUGCUGCAAAUCUCGGACAAAAUCAGUUCCCUUCUCCUGGUUGUCUACCACAGCCAAUUCCAGGUUAUCGCCAAGCUCUUGGUUUUUUGAAACAGAGAAUUCAUUAUUCUAUGAUAAAGCCAACUCAUGGUCAACAUAGUCAGGUUUUCAAUCAGUAGCUAACUUGUUAUCAUGUCUAUAAAUAUGACCAACAUCCCCUUCUUUCUCAUGAUAAUGCCAUAAACCUAGGAUGUGAUCAUAAGCCUGUCCUGUCCCAGUGUGUCUCAAGCUAUGGUUAUGGCCUAACACCAGUUGCUGGUUCUGCUUUUAUUCUAGAUUGUGGCUUUGUGCAUAGAUCAUGUCAUGAUUAGCCAUUGAAUAAAUUAAUCACAGUGUUAAUUCACAAUGCAUUCAACAAGCCUUAUUUAUCAGCAUUUAUUUACAAAACAAAAUCACAUUGCUUUCAUUCAUUUACAUAGUUCUAACAUUAAAUUCAUUUAAAAUAAACAAGAAGUUGAAGCCCAAAGAAUGAAUACCCAAUGGAAAGAACAGCUUUAGCAAGUCCAGGAAAAUCAGACAAUGCUGAAUAAGUGCCUGAAACAAAAGCUAUCACCGUUGCAGUAAUCCCAUAACUCGUUAACAACGAAGUAAUAUACGUAUAAAAUGCAUGGGCAUCGAGUUUUUCCACAAACGAUUUGCAGUAAUGGAGGAACAUCGAUGUGGACGAGAAGCAAAAGGCCAACGCAUUAGCUAUCACAAACACUCUAAAAGCCAAUUUUCUGCUUAAAAUCGCCAUUCCUUCCUCGGGGCCAUCGCUUUUGUACCCACCGGGCGUGGUGAAACCCGCGGCGAAUGAGAUGAUGGCGAUCAGUGUUGUCACCAGUAAGUUUAUGCUGGCGAUGGUAUGGAGUUGAUCGGAGCUUGGUUUCUUGAUCGCUGCAGGUUCGGGUCUUUUGUUGGGAAUAAGUUGUGGUUGGGUUUCAAUGGCGACAGGGGACCAUGUUGUUUGUGGUUGUUCUUGAUUUGCUGUUGUCGAUUCAGUAGAUCUUGUUUUUCUUCCGUCCUUGUUGAUUGCAUGCAUGUUCUAAGCUUUCUAGACCUCUAUUGCUUGCAACACUCAUUGUAAUCCAAGUCAGUAAGUAGCUCAAUUUGAGAUAAAUAUCCAAUUAUUUGAUCUUUAGAUUUGAUUAUGCUUGUUUACCUAAUAAAAAAUUUUCAAGGAUUAAAAACUCCUCAAAUUAAAUAAGUAGAAAUAUUUUUCAAUUUUAUUGUUGCUUUAUAAUUUUGGUUGAUAUAAUAACAAAUUAAGUCUUUGAUGUUUAUAUAUUAUGUUAAUUUGAUUUUGAUUCUGAAUAAAUUAUAUAAAAAAGAUGUAUUUAAAUAUAGAUAGACUGUGUAAACUGUAAGAUUAAAUUUACUAUUAUAUUAAUUAAAAUUUUAUAAAUUGAUGAUGAAUCAUUAAUUGGUUUUAGAUUAAAAUAUUCUAUUUUUUUUGAAAAUUAUGACCCGUUUGGUUAUAUCAAAAUUGAGAGGGAUAUGAAGGAUAUUUUUACUGAUUAAAUAUAAAGUAAAAUGACACUCAGGGAUCAAUUCCAUUUUUUUAUUUUUCACUUACUCUUGAAUAACAUGAUACUUCUUGUGCAAGAGUUAGUUCGCUCAAAAUAUUCUUCAACGAAAUUACUUGAGAAGUGCACACUGCAGCAACUAUGUAUUUUACUUCACAUGUUGAAAAGGCAUUAAAUUUUAAAAAAUAAAGGUAUUGGGAUUAAAUUGAAAAUGUAUAAAGAGUAUAAGCACUUAGAACAUGUUUUGACUUUUAAAUUUUAUUCCAUAAUUUGCUCCAAAAAUUAAUUUAUUCCAAUGCGAAGCGUGGCAAGAACUAUACUAUAAUGAGUAAAUCACAGGGAUAAGCACUUCAAAUUUUCAAGAAAUUUUACAAUACUUAAAUCAAAAACUCCUAACAUUCAUAAAUAAGAGGAUAAUAAAUACUUAAGUACACUCAAAUCCUUUUGACUGUUGCAACAGCAGUGGUGCCAAUUGAUUUGAAGCUAAAGCAAUAAUUUUUAUAAAUUAUUUAAAAUUAAUUGUAAAAAAUAUAAAAUAUAAACUUAUUUUUUUAUUUUAUUUUAAAUUUUAAUAUAUAAAUAAUUAAGCGGAUGUUAACUGAGGUAUGACAUUAUUUUUAUUAUAACAAUCAGGACAAUGUGAAUUUAAACGGAAUUUUGAAUCAAAUAGUAUUGAAAAGGGUUUUCAUCAUUAUUUCCAUUAAUAUUACAAUCAUACUACAAGCCAAGCAAGUGCAGUACACCCUAAGGCUCAAACAAACCUUCAAAUUCUAUGAAAUUUUUUAGGAUUUAUUACAAACCAAGCAAAUGGAAGCACACACUAAGGCUCAAACAAUGAGGUAAGCACACACUAAGGCUCAAACAAUGCCUCAAUUUAUUAUCAACUUUUUUGCAGAGCUGGUAAUGAUAAUCGUAUGCCCCGUGAUAAUAUCAAUAUAUUACCAAGAAGGCAGUGAAGCAGCAGCCAUGAAAGCGACAAACUAUUCGUAGUUAUAAACAGUACAACGCGAGUUCAGAUCAGGCUUCCACCAAUGGCGAAGUUUAUGAGGUGAAAUGCUUUCUUCGGGAGGACUGAGAUUCUCUAUAAGAUUUGCCGAAGGAAGCAACUGAAGCGGCUCCGAAAUUGCAACAUCCAUUAUUUUCAGUUCUUUGAUCACUAUAUUUCUUAGUGAAUGAUGGCUUAUUAGUCCCCAAACUCCAACGUCGUCGCUCUUUCUUCUCUUCUUGAAAUGUUCAAUAUCUCCUUGACAUGUGAAGUCUCUACUAUUCACAAACAAACAUGGGUUCCACCCUGAUAUUGCAGCAAAUGAAUCUUCAUCACCACUAUAUCCCAAAGCAAGGACAACGCCGCCUUUGAUAACAGUGAUUGUCAGUUGAAGUCCACGUAUCACAUUCUUGUUGUCUUUGAAGAUUGUCUCAAUUGGGAAAGAUGCAUAUGGCGGAUUAAACAAAAAACUUUACAAGAAUUUGCCUCUUUUCACCGUAUUCUUUCCAGCAAGCAUUGCGAUGGCUGCCCCUAGGGAAUGACCAGUUAACCAUACCUUUGAAGAACCAGCCUUUGACACCCUAUCUUCAACAUAUUUCAUGGCGGUCCGAACACGACUAGUUUGAUGAAGUGUAUAGGAUUAUUGCGAAAUCCGACUCAAGAUCCCUUUUCCAAGUUUCUCGUUUGAAUAGGGUACCUCGAAAGGCGAUCACGUAUCCAGGGCCUGGAUUAGUUGCCGAAGGAAACACAUAUUCAAGAAUGGCACCAAAGAUGCUUUCAUCAUCCUCAUGGACGAGCUCAUUCACUAACUUGAAGUUGAAAAACUCCCACCAUUGUGGCGCAAGUGUCUCAGAGCCUCCACGUAAUUCCACUUGUCGGUCACGUUCCCGCUCGGAAACACCCUUGACCAAGCUGGCUGAUAAGGAUCUUCGAUGGCUGUCGUCGUUCCUAUCAAUGGUGGUAAGGUUUUUGGGUCCCACAAGACUAAAAGGUUCUCUUCCACGAGACGUAUAUUAUAGCACUGGAAACUAUUGACGUGGGUACGAGGGCUUUGGGUGAUGUGGGUUUCAGGCUAUAUGGUGGUUAAAGCAGGUUGUGCAAUGGUGACUGUGGUCAGUGAUGUGACAGCGCUGGCGAAUGGACCCGCGGAGCUUGGUCUGGGAGCUCUUAAAUAGAAAAUCUUGAUUAUCCAGUAUCUUCUCUUGGUCUCAGCUUUGUCAACAUUCUUACGUCAUUAAGUAUGUCAUCCCAUAAUGAGUGGAUAAAGCUCUUUUUCAGACACGGUUUAAAUCAUAUGGUUAAAUAUAUAUUUAGUUUUUUUAGAAUUUAUAUUUGAGUUAUUUUAAGAUAAAUUAUAAAAAUGGUUAUUAAAUUGAGGUGAAUUUUUUUAUUAUCUCUGAAUUCUGAAAAGUUAUAUUUUUUUAUUAAAAUUAUCUACUUAUAAUAUUUCGAUCAUUCGUAUGUUAAUAAAAAAGUGAAAUUGUAUAUAUUAAUUUAAGGGUUAAUAUUUAAUUUCAUCAUUAAACGAAUUAAUGAAUGACAAUGACUAUAUUGGGCUAUAAGUAACUUGUUUUAGUAGUAUGUUAGUCAAUUCAAAUGAGAGAAAAGAAGAGAUCAAGAACUAUAUUAGAACAAUAAAAACAUACAUUGAUUAAACAAUAGCUACAACUCUAUUCGUCCAAGUAAACACGAUACAAAAUAUGACGCAACACCAUCAUCAACACUGAACCCUCCAUUAAUGACAAUCCAAAGCUUUAGUAUGUUUCUUGGGAAAUCCAUUCAUCCCAACACCCAUGAAACUUUGCUUCUAAACCUAGGCGCUCUUCUUUGGUGGUGUAUUGCCAUAUUUCCAAGUGAAUUGCUUUAAAUCAUCAGGAUAAGUACCCCCUGCAACCUCUUGGAUUGGGAUCGCAUCUGAAAUUUCUUUCAAAUCUUCUUUUGUCAGCUUUACUUUCACUGAUUCAAUGUUGCUGUCUAGAUUUUUAAUCUUGGUUGUUCCUGUAAGAAGUGAAAACAAUGUGUCAAAAGCUUUGGUUUUAAAUCUCAAUGCAAACUGGCCGUUGGUCCAGGAACUUGUAUCGGAGUGUCCAACACGGAUAUGUUCAUUUUCCUAAGGUUUUACAUAUAUCUGGAGGAAUAUGCUAGAAAAGUCUAUGCUAUUUCUGCAGGUUACUAACUUACUCUGACUGUUUUUUCUUCGAGUAUCCGUGUCUAAUACCCAACAUAUUUUGACAUGAGUAUUGAAACAAUCCUCCAAAUAUAUGAAAAACUUCAAAAAAUAUAAGAGUUCACUUAUAUUGUAUCACCUCGGAUUCCGAGUUGAAAGUGAUUGAAUGGGACUUACCGGGAAUAGGAGAAACAUCAUCCCCUUGGUGAAGAACCCAGGCAAGUGCAAGUUGUGCCGGUGUACAUCCAUGCUUUUCAGCCAACUUCUCUACUAAUAUUUUUUAUAUUUUUUUUAUAAAAAUCAAUAAAUAUUUAAGUAAGAAAUGGACAUAAUUUAAAGUCGAAUUUUAUAGUUAUUUUUUCUUGCUUUAUUUUAAGUAUUAAUUUAAUCUAAGUUUUUUUAAGUCUUCAUUAGCUAUAUUCUUGUACACAAGUUGAGAGAAAUUAUUAAGAACAAAUCUAUUGGGUUGAUUUGGGCAUCAAGUAUAUUUUUAUCUUAGCCGCAAAUUAAUUUUUACCGGUACUACUAAAGUUGAUCAUAAUCUAUUUAGUCUAGAUCUAAACCUUAAUUUUCUGAUAAACAUGUUAAUUUACAUGAUUCUUGUGUUUAAUUUGGCUUAUUUCUGAAUUAAUCCCUGCUUAAUUGGUGUUUUUAUGGAUUAAUCUUGCCAGGGAUGCAAUUGAUCAAAAACGAGCAAAAAGGUCAAAUUGAAAGACAAAUCGUUGAGUUGGGGCCAAAUCAUAAAGAUGAGAAAGCUAAGGAUUUAACAUCAAUUUUGACUUUGUAAAAAGCUAAAAAUAGGAGAUAUUAUUUUAUGUUAUUUUAUUAUUUAUUAUUUGUUAUUUAUUUUAUUAAUUUAGCUUUAGCCUAUUUUUAGUAAACCCUAUCUAUAUAAAUAGAGACUUUUAGUUCUUAGAAAAUCAUCUCUUGUUUUUGUAUUCCUACUUCUAUUUGGAAUAGAAAUACUCUUUUUUUUUCCCUUUUCAAAUUGGAGUUUAGCAUUCUGCCACUUUUUCACUUGGUUUUGUUUCUUUUUUAAAAUUGGGCUAAUUGCCUUUCAAGCGUUUUUCUUUUACAAUUUUCAUCACCAUAAUCAUCAAUCUUUUUUUCCAAACUCACAAAGCAUGAACAAUUUCAUGCUUAACCAAAUUCCAUCUUAGCUUUAGGCCGGUGUUCUUUCCGGUCAAGAAUCCUGAGAUUCAUACUUGCACCUAAAAUCUUUUCAAUCGGUAUUCACCUUUUUCCUAAGUAUCGGGAUUGACAACUCAUCCUUUAAGGAUAAUUCGAUUUCAAGUCAAAAAGAGCUCGUUGGGUUGGAGUCGUGUUUUGUGACAGUUGGAGAAACGAAUCAACCGGGCUGUAUUUGGAUCUCCGAGAACAAAUCGAGGAAGAGGUGAUCAGGUUUAAACGACCCACGCGGUUGAGGCCGUUAAUUCGAGUUGGGUUCUUCAGAACGCAAGGCUACCGGAAUCUUGAAUCGAGAACAUGUGUAUCUCUGUUAGAUAAUCGAUAAGGGUUGGUCUGCAUGUAAUACCCCUACCCGUAUUCAUUGCCGGAAUAGGGUACGAGACAUUACCGGAGUUUACGAAUUAAAUUUUUUUUAUAUUCAAUAUAGCCCCUUUAUAAAUAUCUAACCUUCCCUGCAAUAUUAAAUCGAGACCAAUCCACAUCAACCAAAUCAAUUCAACAUAUUUUCAAGAUAAACUCAUUCAUAUUUAUAAGAUAACGUCAUCACAUAUCUAAAACCAGGUUUGUUAACCAUACUAAUGGCUAACUUUACAUUCAUUUCACGUUAACAUUUACUUUGUUAGCUUAUACAUGCCAUUGAUUUCCAAAAUAAAGUUUCUUUAUAUACCGACAUCCUGAGUUUGACAGUGUGAUGUGUCUCCGACCAAAUCCGACCUCCGAGCUCUUAACACUACAAAACAGGGAAAAAGGAAACGGGGUAAACACUUCGUGCUUAGUAAGCUCAUGUAAAAAGAAUUAUACUUACCUAAUAUUUUCAAUACAAUACAAUAAACAUCCAUAUAUCCAUUCAAUGCAUUAUUACGCUAAUAUGCACAAACUCAACAUUCAAGUUAGUACAAUAAUUUCCAUGUACCAAUAAUAUAUAUCAUGAUUGAUGAGCUCGUCAAUACCAUGAUUUCCAUUUCCUUGCUAUUUUUCCAUAUUUAUCCCGUUGAAUUUAUCGGAAUUUCGAUAGAUUUUCAGAGGUACACAUUUAUUGUACAAUCCCGGGUCCGUUAAUUCAUAUUCAUGUGCGCACAUAUCCAUUUCAGAGAGCACACUCCCACGAGCCUCAACCUUGCAGCGGGAUUACCAGUCCAGGCUAAAUCCCCUGCAAUAUAAACUCAUAGAUUAUUGUCGGGAUUACCAGUCCAGGCUAAAUCCCCUGCAACGACAAUUACUCUAAUGAGCUUGGAUCUGAAUUACCAGUCCAGGCUAAAUUCAGACCCUAAUUCGGAUUACCCGUCCGGGCUAAAUCCAUUUUACACAUAUUUUUCGGGAGGGCUAUAUCAGGAUAGGAUCACCCGUCCGGGCUAGAUCCUUUUUACCGUUAAUUCCUUUUCAGAGAUCCAUCGAAUUUUCCUUUCAUUCAACCGAUAUUUCUUCCCAUUUUAUCAAAUAUAUCAAUGUUUCAUUAAUUUUCAUACAAUGAACACUCAAAUCAUAUUCACAUCAAUAACAUACAAUCUCAGGCAUUUAAGAAUAUAAUUCAAGUUACACGAACUUACCUUGAUACUUGUUUGUAAACAAUAAAAAUCUACUAAUCCCGAACUUUUUCCUUUCCUCGAUCUAGCUUCGUAUUUGAAUCUUCCGGAUCUAAAUAAAUAAAUUUAAUUAUCAAUUUAAUACAUUUCAUGUUCAUAUGCAACAUUCUCUAUGAUUCAACUAUUAUUUAUAGUUCAUUCAAAGCUGUCUACUUGAGUCAUAGUCACUAAAUUAUUUAUAACUUGAGCUAUGGAACUCCAAAUUAAGAUCCAUUAAUUUUUACUGAAACUAGACUCAUAUAUAUUUUUACCAUAAACUUUUCAGAAUUUUUGGUUUAUCCAAUAAGUACAGUUUAUUCUUUAAAGUCUCCCCUGUUCUGCUGUCGACAGUUCUAACCCUUCUUCACUAAAAAUUAAUUAUCUCUUCAUACAGAAUUCAAAUAAUGUUCUCGUUCAUUUCUAUUAAAAAUAGACUCAUUAAGGAUUCUAUACAUAUAAAUUUAAGCCCAUAAUUGUUUUUCUUCAAUUUUUUAUGAUAUUUCAAAGUCAGAACAGGGGAACCCGAAUUCAUUCUGACCUUGUCUCACAAAAUUAAUUAUAUCUCAAAAUUUACAAAUCCAUUACUUACACUAUUUCUUCUAUGAGAAACUAGACUCAAUAAGCUUUAAUGACAUAUUUUUUUCAUCUUCUAAUUCGAUUUUUACAAUUUAUGGUGAUUUUUCAAAAUUAGUCUACUGCCGCUGUCCAAACUGUUUUUGUGCAAGCUGUUUAUUACCAUUUUUCCCCUAAGCUUUUAAUAAAUGAUAAUUUCGUCCCUACUCAAUUAGCCUAUCAAUUGAGCUGAUUUUUCUCAAUUAACAUUUUAUUCUAUCACCUUAAACUAGUUUACAACCUUUAGGAAUUAGAAUUUCAGCAAUAGACUUUAAUUCCAAGCAUUUUCACAAUUAGGUCCUAAAAUCAAUUUCUAUUGAAAUUACCUAAUAAAAUCAUCUCAUAAACAAAUUAAAGCUUUAAUUUCAUUCUAUUUCAUCAUAAACUUACAGAACUCAACCAUGGUGACUUUCAAUUUCAUCCAUGAAAUCAAAAACUAAUGAAUUUAAUAGUAGGACCUAGUUGUAAAAGUCUUAGAAACACAAAAAUUACAAGAAAAAGGCAAGGAUUAACUCACUUGGUGCAAAAAUUAUGAAAUACCAGCUUAGAGAACCCUUCUAUGGCGUUUUUAGCUGCUAGAAUUGAAGAGAAAUGAAGAGAAAUCUAGAUAUUUCCUAUUUAGUCCUAGUUUUAUUUAGUUAAUUUUGCAAUAUUCCAAUUUUACCCUUAAUUUAUCAAUUUUUCUGCUGAUUUCAUACCCUUGCCGUCCAGCCCAAAUAACUUUUGGGUCUAAUUUCCUUUUAAAUCCUUUCUCAUUAGACUUUUAAGCUAUUUAAUCAUUCUAGCAACUUUUACACCUAUUACAAUUUAGUCCUUUUCAUUUAAUUGACUACCCAAACAUUAAAAUUUCCUAACGAAAUUUUAAAACCACAUUAAUAACAUUUCAUAAAUAUUUAUAAAAUUAUUUUUGACUCGGUUUUACGAGAUAGAGGUCUCGAUACCUUGUUUUUACCCAAUUUCUUCAAUAAUUUCUUUUUCUAUCUAAUCACUAAAUCGGUAAAAUUUUUCUAUCAAUAUUUUCAUACGAUUUUCCUAUCAUAUCAAUUUUCAUGAAAAAAUAUUGAAAUAAAUUUCUCUUUAAAUCGGAUUUGUGGUUACGAAACCACUGUUCUGAUAAUUUUGAAUUUAGGCUAUUACAUUGCAGGUUGUACUGAGUCCAGCUACGAGAGGAAGAAUUGGUGGUUAGGACGUUCUUAACCACUAUAACCAGCUUAUCAUUUUAAGGAGAAGAUCAAUUUUUGAGGAUCGAUUCUCAACACGGAAUUUACUGAGUCUAAGGCUAAGGCUCAUUACAUUUGAUUGCAAAUCCCAAUUUAAUUUCUGAUUUAUUUAAUUAUUUAUCUUAGCAGUUUUGAUUAUUUAAUUUCUAAUCAAUUUUAAAAUCCCCCGCUUUACUUAUUUAUUUGCUUAUUUUUUAGCUGGUACGUUUUGAGUCGUGGGCACGAAUCUAGCCACGACCCUUGACACGACAUUCUGUUCAUAAGCCAAACUCAAAAGUUGAUUAGAGUACCAAUCCCUGUGGACUCGACCCUACUACCACUCUUCCUACUAUCCAGAGUAUUUAGUAGGAACUAUAUUUGGUGAAUUCGACGCCCAUCAAAUUUUGGUGCCGUUGCCGGGGAUUAUAGAUAUUUUCUAACUUUUGUUUGUCUACCUUAUGACCAGAUCAGAACAGGGAAAUCUAGAGUUUGAGCCAGAAAUUGAGAAAUUGGCCCGACAACUACAAAGAGAAGCCAUAUGACAUGGUAAACGGCCAAAUCUCGAAUUUGAAACUAUAUCUUACACCGAAGAAGUUUUUGACGAACCAGACGAGAUGGCCGAACAAACUAUACGCCAGCUCGCAGCAGCACCGGAUGAACAACAGCCCUUAUGUAUAACCUAUCCAGUAGGAGGAACGCCGUUCGAGCUAAAGUCGGGUUUGAUCCACCUACUACCCACUUUUCGUGGAUUACAGAAUGAAAACCCGCACACCCACCUUAAAGAAUUUCAUAUGGUGUGCACAAGCAUGAAGCUUCAGGGAGUAACCGAAGACCAAAUCAAACUUCGUGCUUUUCUUUUCUCACUGGCCGACUCUGCUAGAGAGUGGCUAUUUUAUUUACCUCUAGGAUCUGUCAACACAUGGUCUGACAUGUCUCGUUUGUUUCCUGAAAGGCUCUUCCUUGCAGCCCGAGUGACCAAACUAAGGAGGGAUAUCGUAGGAAUCCAUAAGAAGGACACUUAAUCGCUCUACGAUUACUGAGAGCGAUAAAAAAAGUUGUGUACGAGCUGCCCACAACAUGGAUUGACUGAGCAGUCACUCUUGCAGUAUUUUUAUGAGGGUUUACUCCCGAUGGAAAUGAAGAUGAUAGAUGCUGCAAGUGGAGGGGCACUCGUUAAUAUGACACCCCAGAGAGCGAGAGAGUUGAUUUCAACCAUGGCUGCCAACUCUCAACAAUUUCGACCGGUUACAAAACCUACGAGACGGGUUCAUGGGUUAAGUUCUUUGUCUCUAAAAGAUAAGAUUGAUAAGCUGACUAAUGUUGUUUAAACUUUACUUUCAGAUAAAACAGGCCCAGUACGGUUAUGCGAAAUUUGCGCCAAGCCAGACUGCCCGACGGACUCAUGUCCAAUUUUACAAGAGGAUUCGACAGAAUAAGCGAAUGUUAUCGGGAACUUCCCAGGACUACCCUAAAAAUGGUAUGACCCUUACUCGAACGCGUAUAAUGUGAGGUGGAAGGAUCGCCCAAAUCUCAACUAUGGGACAAAUUUGCAGUUCAAUCAACCGUUCCAACAAAGGCCACCGCAGAAUCAACAGAUACUACCCCCAAAGUCAUCUUUGGAGGCCAUAGUGGAAAGGUUAGCCAACAGUACUGAGAAUUUCCAAUAAAAAAUUGACAUGCAUUUGUAGGAGUUGGACAAGCAAGUGAGCAAACUCGCACUCACAGUUAGCCGUUUGGAGUCCCAAGGUAAGCUGCCAUCCCAGACUGAGCCAAAUCCACGACACAAUGCAAGCGCUAUGAUGCUAAAGAGUGAUAAGGUUUUGGAGCCCGUACAUGAUACAAGUCGAGGCCACGAUACUAGUCGCGCCCAUGACGCUAGUCAAGAUAGGGAGAAACUUGGCACAGAGGCUCUAGUGGAGUCGAGACCACAAAAGUCAUUUGCAGUACCACCUCCAUUUCCCGGACGACUUGUCCAAUGUAAGAAUGAGCGAGACGAGAUGGAGAUCCUAGACACCUUCCGAAAGGUGGAAAUCAACAUACCUCUUUUCGAUGCAAUUAAGCAGAUCCCACGAUACGCGAAGUUCCUGAAAGAGUUAUGCACGAGUAAAAGGAGACUUUUGGGAAAUGAAAAGGUAAGUGUCAGAGAAAAUGUCUCUGCCAUUCUGCAACGGAAAAUACCGCCCAAAUAUAAGGACCAAGUUAUGUUUUUCAUAUCUUGUAAAAUAGGUAGCGUUGGUAUUAAAAAAGCAAUUUGUGACCUAGGCGCAUCAAUUAAUGUUAUGCCUUUGUCAAUUUAUAAAUUACUUAACGCGGGUCCUUUAGAGGAAAUAAGCGUGAUAAUCCAGCUUGUAGAUAGAUCUGUGGUGCAUCCGGAGGGAGUAUUACAGGACGUUCUUGUCAAGGUAAACGAGCUAAUAUGUCUUGUAGACUUCUACAUCAUCGACAUGGAGGAUGACAAUUCGGCCAAUGCAUCAGACAUACUUCUUGGAAGGCCAUUUUUGAGUACCGCACAAACUAAAAUUGACGUAAGAAGUGGGAUACUCACUAUAGAGUUCGAUGGGGAAGUAGUAAAAUUCAAUGUCUACGAAGCCAUGAACCGUCCUAACAUGAUUUCUAAUGUUUCUAAUAUUGAUAUUAUUGAUCCUUUAAUUGAGUUACAUUUGGAAUAUCAUGACAAGGAUGAGUUACAAACUGUCUUUUGCAGGAGUUUUGUGACAGCCUUAAUUUUGACCCUAGUCGGAAAGUGGUUUCGGGACCACAAAACUGAGUCAUAAAAAUAAUUAACUGUUAAAUUCUAUGUUUAUUAUAUGUGUAAAUGCAUGUGUGAAAGUUUCAUGCUUUGAUUUUGUCAUUUGUAUAUGAAAUUUAUAAGAUAGGACUCAUGUGAUAAAACUUGAAAGUGUGAUAGGUAAAUUUUAAAGUGCCAAAUAAUGCAUGAAAUGUUGACAUGAGGGAUUUGCAUGUCAAAUGGACCAAUUUUGUUAGUGGCCGGCCAUAAAUGAUGGUUGAUGUAUAAUAUAUGUUUUAUUUAAGUAUUAUAAUAAGUAAUGGCUUUAUUUUUGAAAUAAAUUAAUUAGUAAAACAAUAAAAGAUGAUAAAAAAAAAUAGAUGUUCAUCUUUCUUUCUUGAUUGCCGAAUUUGGGAAAGAAAAAUAGUGAAGAAGAAGCCAAGGCAUUCGGCCAUGGUUAUCUCCAUUUAAAGGUAUGUAAUGCAAUUUUUAUUUGUAAUUGAUUAUGAAAUUAAAUAGAUAAAUACAUAGCAUAGUUAACCCAUGGUUUAAAUUCAUGAAUCAAUGAACAAGUGUCCUUUUGGCAAGUGCUAAAUUGGUAUUAUUUUGAUAAGUUUUUGGAAAGAUGUUAGUUAUAUGUUAAGUAGCUUAAAUGAUGGUUGAAUAAGUAGAAUUCAUGGUUGAAAAGUAUGAAUUGAAAUUGCCGUAUGUGUGUAUAUGCAUUUUGGAAAGAAAAAUGUUGUUGUUUAGUUGAGUUUUCAUUUGAUACGUACAUUCAGUCAAAAGGGGGGGAGGAAUAAGAUGAAUUUAAAAUGUUGUGGUUUGUUUUUAAAGUUGGUUAAAUAGUUGUGGUCAUUGCCGAAUACAUUUGUGUUAGGGGAAAAUAUGAUUAAGUAUCGGUUUGAUGAGCUAAAUAUAUAUGUAUAUUCGGCUAUAUAAAUUUGAUGUGUACUUGAAAAUAUAAUAACCCUUAAGAGAUUGUGUUUGUGUAUGUGAACUAGAUGUUUUAUGGAUAUUCGGCUAAAAGGGUAAAUGGCUAAGUCAUAGGAAUUGGGGUGAUAUACAUUAGGUCAUUGGGGUUAUAUGUACUUGGUAAUGUGAGUUAUGUAUUAAGUAAGUUAUUUCUUCGAAAUGUAUAUUCGGUCAUUGUUUAGCAUAGGUGAAACCUAUGUACAAUUUGCUACAUUUGAUCAUAAAAUGGAAUUUGUAUAUGAAAGCUAAGUUUGAGUGGUUAGGGCCGAAUGUGGUAUAUGAGAUAUUAAGGCAUGUUAUGAUUAUAUAUAUGUGUGUAUACGUGGUUGUGCAUAAAAUGAGUAAUUGAUUAAAUUGUGUUAGUCACACAUAGGUAUAUAAAAAUAUAUGCCUUAGGUAAGUACCUUGUAACAUAGAGACAUUCGGUUAUACAUAUAUGUAUAUAUUAUAUAGAUAAAUUCGUGUAAAUAAUAGGCAUGAUAUCGAGUCAUGGUACAUUUUAUAAAACUUAACAUGUAUGGAAGUUAUAUGAUUAUCAAAUGUGAUUAUUAAAGAAUUAAAGUUGAGUAGGUAAUUAAACAAAUUCAAUUGUUUAAUUUUAAAGCUCAAGAGCAAAGAGGAAAUAAAUCAGAUAAGGGGAAGGAGAAAGCAAUCGAGUAGCCUAUCCGUAACUGUUCAAUUAUACCCGAGGUAAGUUUUGAGUAGUUUCUUUUAGUAUGAAAUUGAUAACGCUUUUAUAAGAGUAUAUUAAGUGAAUUGAAAUCUUUGGUUUGUUCUUGAUUAUAGUUGUAUAAUAAAUAGUGUAUGUAUACCAUUAUAGUAUAAUGGUCACUUUGGGUUUAAUAUUGAAUGGUGAAAUGAAUGUGUGGUAUUAAGUAUAACUCUUGAGCCGAAAUGUGAAUGAUGAUGUGCAUAUUGAGCUUAUAUCCGUAUGUAGUAAAUGAUUACUAAAGUGAUAGGUUGAAUGAGACAUGUUAAAAUAUGACUAAGUAUGCAUGGUAUUUGAAAUAUAUCCGGACAUGAGGUCUGUAGGCUAUAUGCUGGGAAUAUAUCCGGACAUGAAGUCCGCAGGCUAUGUGCUGGAAAUAUAUCCGGACAUGAGGUCCGCAGGCUAUGUGCUGGAAAUAUAUCCGGACUUGAAGUCCGCAGGCUACGUGCUGGAAUGGUACCCGGGUUAAAGACCCGUGGACUUGUGUUAUAAAUGUGUUUCAAGUUCUAAGACUUGACAGGACCGAGGCCAGUAAGUUAAGUAAGACUACGAUAUUGAAUGUCCGUGGUAACCAUCAUCGAGUAAGUAACAUAUAUACUUUACAUGUUAACGUACGUAUUAUGUGCUCAUAUGUGAAUUGAUUUCAAAAUGAUUUAUUAGUAUCAAAGAACCAUGUAUAUAUAUAUAGGUGUGUGGAUGAAUUCGGUAUUUUAGGAUAAGACAAUGACAUAUUCGGUCACUGUAAGUCAUUAUAGGAAAAUAUGUGACUAAACGUAAUUGUAUAAACCAUGUAGAUAAUGAAACAUGUGCUAGAAAUUUUCUUGUGUAUACAUAAAUACAUAUUCGGCCAAUAGAAUUUAUAACUAGUGUACUUGUGUAUAUUUGGCCAAGUGAAUUACAAUUAGAAUACGAGUUUUGUGAUAUUUAAUGUUCGUUUUAUAUGAUACGUUUUGAUUGUUUGAGAUGCUUAAAACUUACUAAGCAUAGUAAUGCUUACUUUGGUGCCUUAAUUCUUUGUUUUAUAGAUCUUGUUCGUCAGCUACGGUCUCGGGGAUCUCAAAGUCGAAGUCGUCCACACUAUCUAAGCCUUUUGGUACUCUAGUAGCUAAAUUUCGAUAAUGUAUAUAUGCAUAGCCAUGCGAAAAUGGCUUGAUAAGUUACUAUAUGUGUUCCAAAUGGUUAGUGUGAAUGUGUGGUUGAGAUUUGAUUAAUGUUUUCAAUGUUUGAUUUGAAUUGAACUUAAGAAUGAAUCACUAUACCUAAUUAUCUUGAUAUGACUCUUUUGUAUAUGGUAAUAAUCUUUAACCCUCUGGCGACGGGUACGGGUUAGGGGUGUUACAAGUUUUGUAACAUCUCCUAACCCUAUACCAUCGCCGAAACAGGGUUACAAGACAUUACCAGUCCGUACAGUCCAAUUCUGGUCAUUAAUUAAAAUAAAUAUUCACACUCAUCCUAGUUUUAUGAUGUCGUCCCUUUAAUGGGCCCUCGCAGUCCAAUAUGAACAAUAAAUUCAAUUCAGGACUAAUUUAGAAUCACUACGAAUUUUUAGUAAAUUUCAAAGUUCAUAUUAUAUACCGUUGCCAACCAUAAUUUACUUAUUUCAUCAAUACUUCUACAACUUAAAUGACUCUCAUAAAACAUCCUAGGUACAUGCCAUUACCAAUACUCGACAUACAUUACCUCAUUGAAUUCAGAGUCGGCCUGGGAUGCUGAUUCAACGGUCUAACCUUAACUUAACCUACGCACGAAAAUAAAUCGUACGCUGAGUAUACACUCAGUGGUAUUUCUAUAAUCUGAACACUUAAACUGUAAUAUCCUGAAUUAGGGAUUAAUCGGAAUAGUGGUUUCGUGACCACAAAUCCGAGAUAGAAAUAAUUAUUUUAUAAUUAUUUUGAUGAUUAUAAUAUGAUUGCAUGAUUGUGUGAAAAUUUCGUGAUGAAAUUCUAUGCCUAAAAUGCUUAAAUUGAAAGUAGGGACUAAAUCGAAUAAGUUGCAAAAUUUGCAUUCUAGAAGUUUUUAGUAUGAAAUUGCAUUGAAAUAUUAAUUAGGAGAUCUUAAAUAGCAAUUUGACCAAUUUUAAGUUCAUGGACAAAAUUAGGACAUGGAAGGAAUUUUUAGAAAGUUUAGUAGUAAGGGCAUUUUGGUUAUUUAGUUAUUAAAAUGAAUUAAAAACAAAAUUAAAAGCCAAUUUUUGUCCAUCUUCUUCAUUAGGCCGAAAUUUCAAGGGUUCACCAUAGUUAGGGUUUGUUUCAAGCUUCCAAACUCCAUAAUCAAGAGAAACGAGAUUCAAGUCGCGAUCGAGGAAAAGAAAAUAUUGUGGACUAAAUUGCAAAAUCUUUAUAUUUUGGUACCAAGGUAAGUUCAUGUGUAAAUAAUGUAGCAUAAUUGUUAUUUUUAAGUUAUUGAUGUUAAUUAUAUGAUAUGCUGAUUUUUAUAUGAAAUAUAUGCUUUGUGGUUAUUUUCGAAUAAAAUGCAAAUUAUGUGUAUUAAUUGUUAAAUAUAAAGUCCUACCGAGUAUUGGUUUUGGUAUUUUACAGAAGAUGGCAAGGAUAUGUGUUCGAGGAAAAUCCCGUUUGAACCUUAGGAAUAGAUUAGGAUACAAAUGACAUGUCACUAGGAUGGUUGAGCAUCCAAACUCGUUAAGUUGAGUCCGAGUUCACUUAUGGAUGCGAAUGUCCGAACUCGUUGAGUUGAGUCCUAGUUCGUGAAAUGUAACUAGGCAUCCGAACUCGUUGAGUUGAGUCCGAGUUCACUUAUAGAUGCGAACGCCCGAGCUCGUUGAGUUGAGUCCGAGUUCACUUAGGGGCAGGUUACGUGAUUUCUUGAUUACACAUGAGGCACUUAUGUGCAAAUUAUCCGUGUAUCCGAGUUGUAUUCCGAUGUGUUCAACGGGUGAAAUUUCUAGUGAAAUGAAAGAACACUUAAGAUGCAAGCGACGUAUUGGUAAGUGUUGUGAAAUGGACACUUUGGGCAGGUAUGUUCUUAACCCUCGGGUUGAUAAUAGAUACAACAACGAUAAGGUGGUAAGAUGAUGAAUGAUGUUUAGAAAUAUGACAUAUGUUUUGGUGAUACCAUGCUAAAGUUGUUUGGUAUAUUUGUAUUGUUAUGUUACUUGUUAUUUACAUAUGAACUUACUAAGCAUUUAUCCUUACUCCCUCCUCUUUAUUUACUGUAGUUUUGAACAAGCCAGCUCGGGAAUCGGGACGGGUUGAAGGUUCGAUCACACUAUCUAAAGGACUUUCAUCUGGGUAAAUGGCUUGUAAAACUUAAGUAUGGCAUGUAUAGCAAUAUACUUAUUUUCUGUAAAUAAUUUUAUGAUAUGGCCAUGAUUGGUUGAGAAAAUGUUUGAUAUUGAUAAGUCAUGGUGAUGGUUAAAUUUAGAUCAUGUUUGAUAUCAUGGAAGUUUAAUAGGUUAUCUAGUUCAUAACAACUCAUGAAAAGAUGAAAUUUGCCUUAAAACAGAAUAUUACUGCAGCAAUGACAUGAAUUUGAAAAAUUACUAAAAAUAGUAUAAAUAGAAAUAAAUGAUGAGUAAGUUAUAAAAUUGAAGAUUAAUGACUCUAUUUUCAUGUGGAUUGAACAAAACAGGCAUAUAAAUUAUAUUUUAUGAGAUAUUUAAACUUUUGUGAAACAGGGCCAGAGUGAUUUCUGGAUCCCCUGUUCUGACUUUAAAAAUUCAUAAUAAAUUUUACAAAAAUGAUUAGAAGUUUUUCUUUAUAUGUACAGAUUCCUUAUUGAGUCUAGUUUUAAGAGAAACAAACGUAAUAGUCAUUUAAAUUCUGUAUAGAGAGAUAUCUGAUUCGUAAUACACAGAGGUCAGAACAGUCGAACUCUGAAACAGGGGAGACUUUAACUAAUAAACUGUACUAAUUGGCCCAACCAAAAAUUCUAGAAAAAAAUUAGUAAAUAUAUUUAUGAGUCUAGAUUUAGGGAAAAUUUACGGAUUUUGAUUUCGAGUUUUGUAACUCGAGAUAUGAUUUUUCUUGUAACUGUGACGCAGGUAGCUAGAACGCUGUGAAUGUAGAAACAAAUGAUUUGAAGUUUUUAAUUUGAUAAAUUAUGUUCGGUAACUCCUCAAGCUCGACUCCGGCGACGGUUUCGGGCGUGGGGGCGUUACAUAAACAAUUAUAAAACAUAUUAAUUUAUAUAUAUUGAACUAUUCAAACUCAAUGAGAAUUCAAACAUUCAUUUUCCAACCAAUGUUUUGGUCUACUUUAAAUUUCAAAUCAUUUAUUAUUUUUCAAUAGCAAUUAAUCAAUCAGUAAUGUUCAUUAACACUCAGAACAAUUAUUUAUUCAGUAACAGUCAGUUAUUCGGUAACAAUCAAUUAUUCAAUAAUAACCAGUUAUUCAAUAUCGAUCAAUUGAUCGGUUAUCCAGUAACAGUCAAUUAUUCAGUAAAAUCAGAUAUUCAGUAACUAUUAAGGUAUUUAGUAGCAGUCAUUCAUUCAGUGACAAUCAGUUAUUCAGUAAUGAUCAAUUAUUCAGUAAUAUUCAGUUAUUCAGUAAUAGUCUAAUAUCCAGUAACAGUCAAUUAUCCGGUAACAGUCAAUUAUUCAGUAAUAAUCAGUUAUUUUAUACCUUUAUUUACCCCUAUUAACAUGACUCGGACUCAGACAGAUACACGGAUCCAACCAACACACCAGUACGGCACAUAGUGCCUCAUCGGCCGAAGCCGGAACAAUAAUAGUAACAGUAGCAGUACGGUACAUAGAGUACCUCAUCGGAACAAAUCCGGAACAGUAACAGUAACAGUAACAGUAUUCAACACACAAAGUACUGAAUCGGUAACGGUAACAGUAACAAUAUUCAACACACAAAGUGUCGAAUCGGUAACGGUAACAGUAACAAUAUUCGACACACAAAGUGCCGAAUCGAUAACAGUAGCAGUAACAAUAUUCGACACAUAAAGUGCCGAAUUGGUAACAGUAGCAGUAGCGGUAACAGUAACGAACACAUAAGUGCCUAAAAUACGGCACAUAAAGUGCCCGAUCGGUAAAGUCGAUAAAUCCCGUACUCUUCCAAUCCUAUGGCAUGCCAAUUAUAUCUGACUAGCCCGACAAGUUAAUAGGAAAUUUAAUUCUUAUUCCAAUUUUACUUAAUAUUCAUGUUUACCCCUAUUAACAAGACUCGAACUUUGGCGGAUAUACCGAUUCCAACCAAACACACCAGUAUGGCACUCAGUGCCUGAACACUUCUAAAUCCUAUGGCAUGCCAACUAUAUCCGACUCAGUCCGACUAGUUAAUAGGAUAUUCAAAUCAUUUUUCUAUUUCAAAUUCGCUUUCAAUUUAAUCACAAAUUCUCAUAUUUCAAUAUCCAACCAAUACACAUUUCAAUUAAUCAUAAUUCCAUUCCAUUCAAUUCAAUUCAAUUCAAUUCAAUUCAAAUUCACUUAUCCACUUUCUAAUCAAUAUACAAUUAAAAAUCAAUACAUAUUUCAGAUAUUCACAUAUAAUCAUACUUCGAUUUAAUUCCAACCACUUUUCAAUCAAUACACAAUUCACAUAUUUACACAUAUUCAUAAUUUAUUUUAUUUUUAUUCAAUUCAUAUUUUUUAUUUAUUUAUUGUCCAAUCAAAUUUAAAAUCACUAAUUUCUUUUCAAUCAAUAUACAUUUCAAAUAAUCACAUUCAAUUCAAUUUGGUUCAAUUCCAUAUCAUCCAAUCAAAGCCAUUCCAAUAUUAACUUCUCAUGUAUUUUAUUUGUUUCACUUUUCCAAUCAAUUUACAUUUUAAUUUCAAUUUCAAUUCAAUAACAAUUCACAUAUAUCCAUAAAUCAAUUCAAUAUAAUCAAUAUUCAAUCCAAUUCAUAUAAUCAUCUCAAAACACCUACUACAUAUAUAUAUUAAAUAAUAAAUCCAAUAAUUUAAGUAUUAAGUUCGGAUUAUAAAAAUACAAACCAUAAUUUCCGAGCUAACUCCCGUUGACUUUGUCUUGUCCUUUCUUAGCUGAGAUUUUCGGUACCACAUUGACUACGAAAUUAAUACAAUUCAUAAUCAUUAAUACAUUACUAAUUUAUAUCUUGAGUUACAGAAUUCUAAAUUAAGAUCCGCUAAUUUCUCCUGAAACUAGACUCACAAAUCUUCUUACCAUAAAAUUUUCAGAAUUUUUUGUUUAGCCAUUAAAUACAGUUUAUUCUUUAAAUUCACCCCUAUUCUGCUGUCUGACAGUUUCGAUCCUUCUUCACUAAAAAUUAAUUAUCUCAUAGUACAGAACUCGGAUAAUAUUCCCGUUGAUUUUUCCUGAAAAUAGACUCAUUGGGGAUUCUAAACAUAUAAAUUUAGCCUCUAAUUAUUUUUAUUCAAUUUUUGGUGAUUUUCCAAAGUAUGAACAUGGGAACUCGAAUUCAUUCUGACCUUGUCUAACAAAACUCAUUAUAUCUCAUAAUUUACAAUUCAAUAGGUUACACCGUUUCUUCUAUAAGAAAUUAGACUCAAUAAGCUUUAAUUCCAUAUUUUAUUCAUCCUCUAAUUCAAUUUAUACAAUUUUUUUUAUUUUUCAAACUUAAACUACUGCUGCUGUCCCAAACAGUCAUAAUGCAAAAUGUUGAUUUUCUUUAAUUUCAAUUUAAUCCUAACUAAAUUCACUUACUUUUCUAUCUUAAUUCAUACUUUAUUUCUACUCAAUUUUUAACCAAACUUAGACAAAAUUAUCUAUUUUUCAUCAUAAAACCAUAAUUUCAAAAUUCUUUUAAUUUAGUCCUUAAAGCAUAAAACUUAUGAAUCACUUUACAAUUCAAUCCUUAUUUCAUUUCUAACUUGAAUUUCUAUCAAUUUAGCCCUUAAUUCAUCUUUUUAUUCAACUUAAUCAACACAUAAAAAUUCAUUAACUUCCUAAUUUUUGAUAUAAUUCAUGUAGUACUCUUCUCUAGAAUUCCAUAAACAUCAAAAUUAUAAGAAAAGUGAUCAAAUUGACUUACCUAGUAAAGCUUAAGGCUUCAAAAACCCUAAUUUUCCUUUUAUUUUUCUUUCCUUCCUUUCUUUCCCCUGUUUCGUCUGCUUCUCUGUUUCUUUUUUUUUUUCUUUUGUUUUACUUUAUAUAUAUAUAUAAUAUAAUAACAAUAAUAAUAAUAAUGACUUUAUUAAAUAUCUACUUAAUAUCAAAUAUUUAUUUUACACUUGGGUACACAUAUAUUAUUACAUUCGUAUUUCAUCCUCACCAUACACUUGUCAUUUUACAUUUAUUUAUUAUAUAAAUAUAUUAUAAUAUAAUUAUUUAUUUAAUAAAUAUCUCUCACUAAAUAAUAAAUAUCCAUUUAAUAUCAAAUACAUAUAUUAAAAAUUUAUGUAUUUUUUUAUUAAUACAUAUAUUAAUAUAUUACCAUACACUUUUCUUUAUUUAAUCUAUUCAUCAUAUAAUAUCAAUUUAAUAAUAAUCAAUACAUUAGUUAUUUACUUAAAUAAUAAGUAAAUACAUACGUGUAUUACAAAUGUAUGUAUAAUACUUAUUACACAUGUAUUUUAUUUUUGCCAUACACUUGGCACUCCUUUGGCUUAUUUACUUAUUUAGUCCUUUCAAUUUUUUUAUCCUAUAAUUAAACUUUCACACUUCAUUCAACUUAAUCCUUUUAUCUAAUUAUCCUUUAUUUAAGCUAAUUUGCUUCAUUAAACUUUAAUUAAUCACUCUCUUAACUUCGUAAAUAUUUUUAAUAAAUAUUUACAAAUCUAUUUUUCAGAAACGGAGACCCGGAAAUGCACUUUUUCGAUAACUGUAAAAAUUCGGGUCAUUACAAGUUUGGACUUUGAUGCCAUUAAGAAACUUGAGGAGAGGAUAACCAUUGAAGAUUCUACUCACGAAAUAGUACUCAUAUGGAGGCAUUGCAACUAUGGAAAGCUUCAGGUAAAACCUUUGAAUUAUCUCCCUCACAGACUAAGCUCGUACCAUCUGUUUUGCAGGCUCCGAAGUUGGAACUCAAACCACUCCCAAGCCACUUGAAGUAAGCUUUUCUCGGUGAAAAAAAUACACUACCAGUGAUAAUAUCGAGUAAACUCAAGAGGGCAGAAGAAGAAAACUUGGUACGAGUCCUUAGUGACUAUAAAAAGGUAAUUGGAUGGACAAUAGACGACAUUAAGGGGUUGAGUCCCUCGACUCGCUUGCAUAAAAUUCAAGUGGUGGAUAAUGCUGUACCUAAAAGAGAGGCUCAAAGGCGUCUCAAUCCGCCCAUAAUGGAAGUGGUAAGAAAAUAAGUCCAAAAGCUACUUGACGCCGGGAUGAUCUAUCGCAUUUCCGGCAGUAGUUGGGUUAGCCCAGUCUACGUAGUACCAAAAAAGACGGGUGUGACUGUAAUUGAGAAUUUGGCAGGUGAGAUGGUUCCCACUCGGGUCCAAAACGGGUGGAGAGUCUGCAUCGAUUACAGGAUGUUGAAUUUCUUAACUCGAAAAGAUCACUUUCCACUUUCUUUUAUUGACCAGAUGUUAGAACAUUUAGCUGGAAAGUCUCACUAUUGUUGUCUUGAUGGUUACUCAGGGUUUUUCCAGAUUCCAGUGGCACCAGAGGAUCAGGAGAAGACGAUAUUUACAAGCCCAUUUGGCAUAUUCGCUUACAAACGGAUGCCAUUCGGACUCUGUAAUGCACCAGCCACUUUUCAGAGGUGCAUGGUAAGUAUAUUUUCAGACUACGUUGAGAAAAUUAUCGAAGUGUUCAUGGACGACUUUACUGUAUAUGGUGAGUCCUUCGAGGUAUGUCUGACUAACCUUGCAAAAAUUUUGGAAAGAUGCUUAGAAUUUAAUCUUGUUCUAAAUUAUGAGAAAUGCCAUUUUAUGGUAGACAAUGGAUUAGUUCUAGGUUAUAUUAUUUCUGCAGAGAGAAUUUCUGUCGAUAAAGCAAAAAUCGAGAUCAUUAACUCACUACCAUACCCCACUACUGUGAGGGAGAUUCGAUCUUUCCUUGGUCAUGCAGGUUUCUACAGGCGGUUUAUUAAAGACUUUUCGAAAAUUGCGCAACCCCUUUGCAACCUAUUACAGAAGAACAAUGAAUUUGAGUUUGACCAGUCAUGCAAAGAAGCGUUUGACACUCUCAAACAUAAGCUCGUUUCGGCACCUAUUGUUCAACCACCGAAUUAGAGUUAUCCUUUCGAGAUAAUAUACGAUGCUAGUGACCAUAGCGUGGGAGCAGUCUUUGGAUAAAGGAUCGAGAAGGAACCACACGUUAUCUCCUAUGCCUCUAAAACUUUAAACGCCGCGCAAAUCAAUUAUUCAACCACUGGAAAGGAGUUUCUAGCUAUAGUCUUUGCCUUAGAAAAAUUUCGUUCAUAUUUAUUAGAAACUAAUAUUGUAGUUUUUUUUUAUCAUGCAGCCCUCAAAUAUCUGAUCGGGAAAAAGAAAGCAAUACCUAGAUUUAUAAGGUGGAUACUACUUCUGCAAAAAUUCAAUCUCAAAAUAAAAUAUAAAAAAGGAUGUGAAAAUUUGGUGGCUGACCAUCUGAGCCGAAUUCCUCUAUCAACGGACGUAACACCACUUAAAGAUGAUUUUCCGGAUGAAAACUUACUUACUGCCCAGAUGAUUUUUCUUUGGUAUGCAGACAUGGUAAAUUAUCUUGCUACAGGUAUGGUUUCUCCUAACCUUUCGCGAUAUGAAAAAGACAAGAUCAAACGUGAGUCUUGAUACUAUAUUUGGGAUGACCCCUAUUUUUGGAAGUACUGUUCUGACCAGGUAAUUCGCCGAUGCAUUCCUGAAACUGAGGUAAAAUCCAUUCUAUCCUUUUGUCAUUCUUAUGCAUGUAGUGGGCAUUUUGGCCCCAAACAAACUGCGCAUAAAAUACUUGAAUGAGGACUAUAUUGGCCAAAUAUUUUUGUGACACAUAUCUGUUUUCUAAAACUUGCAAAAAGUGUCAAAAUGUAGGAAACUUGAGACGAAAAAAUGAAACGCCUCUAAACUCUAUACAUGUCUGUGAAAUUUUUGAUAUAUGGGGCAUUGAUUUUAUGGGCCCUUUUUUCUCAUCGUUCGGUAAUGUUUAUAUUUCACUUGCUAUUGACUAUGUGUCAAAAUGGGUAGAAGCAAAAGCCACUCGUCGUGUUGAUGCCAAAAUAGUAGUCGAUUUUCUGAAAAGUUGUAUUUUUUCCAGGUUUGGCACACUGCGAGCUUUGAUUAGCGAUCGAGGGACGCAUUUUUGCAACAAAGUAAUUGAUAUGCUCUUGAAAAAACAUGGAGUGGUGCAACGAGUCGCUACAGCUUAUCACCCACAAUCGAACGGUCAGGCGGAAGUGUCGAAUCGAGAAAUCAAGUUGAUUUUGGAGAAGACCGUUAAGCCAAAUAGGAAAUACUGGAGUUUGUGACUUAAUGAUACAUUGUGAGCUUACCGAAUAGCUUAUAAAGGAUCUAUAGGUAUGUCUCCUUAUCGACUAAUUAUUGGUAAACCGUGUCAUCUUCCCGUUGAGUUGGAACAUCAGGCGUUUUGGGCGGUCAAACUAUGCAACAUGGAAUUGGAAGCUGCAGGUAAGUAUCGUAAAUUAAAUAUCCAGGAACUUGAGGAAAUUCGACGAGAAGCGUAUGAGAGUGCCCAAAUUUACAAGGAUAAGGUCAAAGCGUACCAUGACCAAAAGAUAAAUCGUAAACAAUUUAUGGUAGGCCAGAAAGUAUUACUUUAUGACCCUACAUUAAGAAUUUUCGCAGGUAAGCUUUGAACUAAGUGGUUGGGGCCUUUUAUUGUUACUCACGUAUUUCUACAUGGUGCAGUCGAGGUCAAAAGCGAAGAAUCUAAAAAAAUUUUCAAAGCCAACGAGCAGCGAUUAAAACCUUUUUACGAAAACUUCUAAGUCCACUUGGUUGAAGAAUUGGUUCUCGAGGAGCUGGCUGAAUAAAUUUACAGGUCAUCAAGCUAACGACGUUAAAAAAAAGCACUCUUUGGGAGGCAACCCAAAUUUAUUUUUAUUUAUUUAAUUUUUAGUUUAAGAAAAAUUUAGGGUGUAAAUAAAUAAACUCCUAUUUUACUCAGUCAAAUUGAUGUUUUCAGGAACAUUAUGGAGGCCGUGAAUUCUCAAGAAGACGAGCAUGAUGGUGGUGUGGGCAUGACUUGCUAAUUGAAAAAAAAAAACCAUCUCUGAAAUCGAUUUCUCGUCUUUGACAUGUACACGAACUGCUUGUGAGAAUAUGGUUUUUCGCCAACGCCCACAUUUUGCUACUCGAGAACAAGAGAAACAACCUCCGACUGUAGAGGCCCGUUUAAGCCGAAUUGAGGCUCGACUUGGAACAAUGGAAACCCAAGUCUCCACAAUCCUCGACAUCUUACAGAAUCGUUACUCCCAACACCAACUACGUCAUUAACAUAUAUGGGGAGUAUUCUUCACUUUUUCUUUUUAUUUUAGGCUGCUAACUUUUAUUUCAUAUAAUAUAUGCUUGAGGACAAGCAUAGUUUAAGUAGGGGGGAUGGAUGGAUGGUAAUGGAUGGUAAAUAUGCAUGCUUUUUGCUGCAUAUCUCUCUUUUGCAUGUGUUCAAUCUUACAUUAAGUUCAUUCGACAGUUUAUUUAACAUUGAGCCUUUAAUCCCAUACUUAGUUAAUUUGGAAAAUUGGGCAAAAUUUGAAUUAAAAUGUUCAAGUAUAUAGGUCAGUCAACAUUUGUGUCUUAAAAUUGAUAUAUGUAGCUUGAUUUUUUCCAUAUAAAUUGAUUGUUUGGAAAAUUAUAUUUGCUUGUGCAUUAAUAAAUAAGUGAAUAAAUAAAGGUUCAAGUUAUGAGUGAAUUUUCGAAAAUGUGACCGGAUUGAGUAACCGGGGUAAAGUUCUUGUGUUGUCAUCUUAUCUCGUGUAAAAAGGUUCGAGUGACAAGUCGAUAACUUAUAAACAUUCCGCUAACUGAGCUUUAUUUUAUAAAAUAUAUAUAAUAAAUAAAUAAAAUUUAAGACGGUUUAAACUGAGUAACCGGGAUAGGGUGCUUGGGUUGUCAUCCUAGUUCACCUUAAAAGGUUUGACCACGUGAAUAAUUUUUUCUAAUGCAUAGUUAAUUAAAUAAUGCCAUACAUUUUAUCGGAUUCAAACUCAAUUUAGUGAAAUUAUUUAGUCCACAUGUUUCAAUUUUAUGACAUUUGUUGAUCAAAUUUUAUAUCUUGAGCAUUUAUUUAUUUUUGCCCGUCGUUGUUUACAUUGAUUAUGUAGCAAAAAGAGGCUCGAUUUUUCAUAAAUUGUAGAACAAAUUUAAUGUUUGAAAGAACAAACAUGCUUGAGGGCAAGCAUGAGCUAAGUAGGGGGAGUUGAUAAACAUGUUAAUUUACAUGAUUCUUGUGUUUAAUUUGGCUUAUUUCUGAAUUAAUCCCUGCUUAAUUGGUGUUUUUAUGGAUUAAUCUUGUCAGGGAUGCAAUUGGUCAAAAACGAGCAAAAAGUGGUCAAAUUGAAAGACAAAUGUUGAGUUGGGGCCAAAUCAUAAAGAUGAGAAAGCCAAGGAUUUAACAUCAAUUUUGACUUUCUAAAAAGCUAAAAAUAGGAGAUUUUAUUUUAUUUUAUUAUUUAUUAUUUAUUAUUUAUUUUUAUUUUAUUAAUUUAGCUUUAGCAUAUUUUUAGUAAACCUUAUGUAUAUAAAUAUGGGCUUUUAGUUCUUAGAAAAUCAUCUCUUAUUUUUGUAUUCCUACUUCUAUUUGGAAUAGAAAUACUCUCUUUUUUCCCUUUUCAAAUUGGAGUUUAGCAUUCUGCCACUUUUUCACUUGGUUUUGUUUCUUUUCUAAAAUUGGGCUAAUUGCCUUUCAAUUGUUUUUCCUUUCCAAUUUCCAUCACCAUAAUCAUCAAUCUUUUUUUCCAAACUCACAAAGCAUGAACAGUUUCAUGCUUAACUAAAUUCCAUCUUAGCUUUAUGCCAGUGUUCUUUUCCGGUCAAGAAUCAUGAAAUUCAUACUCGCACCUAAAAUCUUUCCAAUCGGUAUUCACCUUUUUCCUAAGUAUCGGGAUUGACAACUCAUCCCUUAAGGAUAAUUCGAUUUCAAGUCAAAAAGAGCUCGUUGGGUUGGAGUCGUGUUUUUUGACAGUUGGAGAAAUGAAUCGACCGUGCUGUAUUUAGAUCUCCGAAAACAAAUAGAGGAAGAGGUGAUAGGGUUUAAACGACCCACACAGUUGAGGCCGUUAAUUUGAGUUGGGUUCUUCAGAACGCAAGGCUACCAGAAUCUUGAAUCAGGGACACGUGUAUCUCUGUUAGAUAAUCGGUAAGGGUUGGUUUGCAGGUCGUACCGGGACCAGCUACGAGAGGAAGAAUUGGUGGUUAGGACGUUCUUAACCAUUAUAACCAGCUUAUCGUUUGAAGGAGAAUAUCAAUUUUCGAGGAUCGAUUCUCAACACGGAAUUUACCGAGUCUAAGGCUAAGGCUCAUUACAUUUGAUUGCAAAUCCCAAUUUAAUUUCUGAUUUAUUUAAUUAUUUAUCUUAGCAGUUUUGAUUAUUUAAUUUCUAAUCAAUUUCAAAAUCCCCCGCUUUACUUAUUUAUUUGCUUAUUUUUCAGCUGGUACGUUUUGAGUCGUGGGCACGACUCUAGCCACGACCCUUGACACGACAUUCUGUUUAUAAGCCAAACUCGAAAGUUGAUUAGAGUACCAAUCCCUGUGGACUCGACCCUACUACUACCACUCUUACUACUAUCCAGAGUAUUUAGUAGGAAUUAUAUUUGGUGGAUUUGACGUCCAUCAUUUUCAUUUUCAAAAUAAUUAACAUCAUCAAGUUAAUACAACUUGUUGACUAGACAAGUAAGUUAAAUAAGCACAUAACUAAAUCAGAGGCGAAUAAGUGGCGGCUGGCAGGUCCUUGUCCCCCCUAAAAUGGAAAAUUUCUAUUUAGGCUAUUGAAAUUUUUUUAAAAUUUUAAAUUAAUAAAUGUAAAAUUGUACUUUGCCCCCCUAAAAUUAUAAAAAUUUAACUUAAUCCUUUAAAAAUUAUAAAGAUAUAGACUAUAAAAAAUUAAAAUUUUAUUCGGCCCCCUAAAAAUUUGUUCUAGCUUUACUCCUAAACUGAAUAAAUAAUUAGAAAAUAUCGAAACAAUCGACGAGAAAAUUGAUUAAUUAACUAGGAAAUAUAAUCCAUUAUUGUUUUAAGACAAUAAAAUCUAGUCGUGUUGAAUUGAGAAAAUCACACAAAAAGAAAUUUAAAACAAACUUGCAUAAAUACAAAGUAAUAAGAAAUAAUAUAGAGAGAAAAAUAGUUAUAGAAAAAUAUGACCCUCUUUCUCACGCUAUUACUAAUUAGUUAAGGUAAACAAUUACUUUAUCAUUAAAGAUUAUUGUAAACAAGUUUUGUACUUUCUGGGUGUUUUUAUGAUCCGGUUUUAAGAUUAUCAUCAAGAUCUUCUGAUGUUGGAAUCUUUUGCCUUGGAUUGAUUUGAUUUUAGAUGAUUCACUAGUGGUGUCAAUUGGUCAUAUCUAUUGCAUUUCGAUACUUCCCUUCAGUUUCCUAGCAUUGAUUAGUCACAGCGAAACACUGCAAAAACCAAUAUUCUAACCGUAAUGAAUGGUGGAUGAUUGUAUGUUGUUAUACAAAUCAGUAGCAAGCAUGCAUCCAUGCGGGGGUUGCCCAACGAAUCAGUGAUACCACCCCGCAGCACAUCAGAAGUGCUUAUAGUCAAUUAAGAUUUUUCACCAUAACCAAGUAUCUAAAGAAACUCUCGUAAUGGUUCAUUUGCAUGGAUGCAUUAUGUUACCCUUUUUCGGAGUGAUUCGUCUCAUCGAAAUUCUAUAAAAAGAUCCAUCAUCCUAAUCGGAAUGAAUGAUGAAUGAUUGCAUAUUGAUUUGUAAAUUCACUGGCAAGCUAGCAUCUUUUUUCCUAUGACAGCAAAGGUUGAGCUUGAUGCCCGUUUGAUGUUUUGCCCGCACAAAUUUUGGGGCUGAAACCUAUUGCCAAUUGCUGAAUAUUCUGUCAUUUUCUGCCUUUUUAAUGAAAAACCACGUUGGAACAAAGAAGGUUUUAGAUUUACAUUGGAGCUGCUAUGCUACCACGUAAACCAGAUAAACCCCGUGAACUUUUAGCCCUUUCAAUUUUGCCACCUCAGCUAUUAUCCUCUGCCAUUUCUGAACCACGGAUUCAGAUAGAUGAUGCAAAUAAGAGCUAUAUCAGCUCUCCCCAUCUAAGAAUUAAGACCCAUCAAAUCAUAUCAUUAAAUUUCAGCCCCAGAUAGGGACCCAAAAGGGCAAAAGUCCGCGACACGGAUGUUGAACAUGGGUGCAUUAGAAAAUCGAAGAGUUCGAACAAACAAUCAUAUAACCCAAUGAAGCACAUAAAGGACUGAGAAACAAAGUCAUUAUGAAUCCAAUACUCAAAUGCAGAAAGAAAUUUUAUUAUAUAAAGGCUAUGAAAGCCUAAGCAUAUCAACUUACAACAGCAAGCUAUUUUGGAUAGAGUGGAAACAUAAAAGCUUCCCCUUGGACAAAGAUCAUAGUGCACAAACUAAAUACGACAAAAUAAAUAAUCUUAAACUGAUAUUGGUUGAUACUUUUUGGAUUCAAUGCCAUUAGCAUAGCUAUAUCAUAAUAAAACUUGGUUCCAAAGCAAGUUUACUUCAUUCUUUGCCGUCAGCAGCACGAAGUGACCCGAGCUGGACCGGUGCUUGGGUUCCUACCACCUUAGAUGAUCCAUAAACAGAUAGAUCAAUGCCUUGAGCCUUCUCUUUCUCAAUCUGUUCCUUGAUCCAGAAAUAUGUAAUUCUCAGCCCAUCCUAUAAAAACAGUAAAACCAGAUGCGUCACAAGUGAAUCAGGAACUGAAUGAAACUAGGUAAUAACCGGCCAAAAGCAAUGACUUCAGACUUUUUUACUCUACAGGCAAUGGAGGAAAACCAUUUUCCAAAACCAGAGGUCAUAAAAAUCUUUUUAAACUGGGAAAAUCGUGUGGGGAUAAUAUAAUUCAGUUACCUUCAACCUCAUUGUAGGGGCCCAACCAAGUUUUUCUUUGAUCAAUGUAUUGUCUGAAUUACGACCACGGACACCCUCUGGACCAGGGAUAUGGUGGAUCGGAAGCUUUUUAUCUUCAAAGCUAAGCACAAUCUCCGCCAUCUCGUUCAUGCUAACCAUCUCAUCACUUCCGAUGUUCACAGGCUCACGGAAAUCGGACUUUGUCAAUCUGAAUGCAUAAUAUAGAGAAAGAUUGAUUAAUAUUAGCAAAUCUCAAACUGAAAUCAAGCGGCUAGUAAAUGCCAAAACAAGUGUCUAAAAGUUUUUCUUCUAAAGCAUAAAAUACAGUAUACAAUUUAAAUUCUAAUCACCAAAAUCAUAAUUUCCCAAAUUGCAUACUCAACUAGCAUAGCAAACUAUGAAACCAGGAAAUAUGCCCUAUUUGAUUCCUCAAUGUUUAUAUUAUAAGCCAAAUCCAUGCAGAUUUAACAUUUACUAAAAGCAAGCCCUUUAGUUUUUCUCUUCAAAUUUGUUGUGUAAAAUGAGUUUCAGCAGGAGGAGCUUUGAAAAUUGCCCAAAAACUUACCUAAGUACACCUUCAACACAUUCAUCAAUGAAAGUGAAAGAUCGAGUCUGAAGACCAUCUCCCCACAUCUCAAACUUGUCAAUGGAAGUAAUAGCCUUUCUGCAAAAGGCAGCUGGAGCCUUCUCCCUUCCACCUAUUAAGGUUGAUACAAGAAAAGAAAAAAAAUUAGUAAGUUCCAAAAUCGAAAAAAAUACAUAAGCACUCAUCAAAACUAAGGGUUUACCUUUCCAAGUUCCAAAAGGGCCGUAAAUGUUGUGGAACCUUCCAAUGCGACAUUCAAUUCCAAAGUCUUCGGUGUAAUGCUUGCACAACUCCUCUGUUGCAAGCUUCUCCAAGCCGUAAGCAUCUUGUGGCUAAAACCAAGGUUUAAAACACGACAAUCAGUAGUUAUAUUGGAUUAACUAAUAGAACAUAAGAUUACCGGAUAGUAUUUAAUGAAUUUGAGUCACAAACCUCAGCAGGCCAGGCAUCGGAUUCUUUCAAGCUCACAUUAGUUUCCAAUUGCUUAAAUUCAGGAUAGAUACAAGCACUGGAGGCGUAAAAAAACCUAAACAUACCAAGAUAUUGAGUUUAAACAAACUGUAAACUUAGUGGAAUUGCAAUGAAUGUAAGGCAAUCAUAUGAUACGAUGUACCAAUCCAAACAAACCUCUUAACUCCACUGAUUCGAGCAGCCUCGAGCAUGUUGAAACUGAUCAUUGUGUUGUUGUACAUAAUGACAGAGUGGUUGGACUGGAUGAAGCCCAUGCCACCCAUAUCAGCGGCAAGGUUGAAAACAUGAUCCACUCCAUUGGUAACCUUCAAGCAAUUUUCCAUCACUCGAAGAUCAACAAGAUGGAAUUCGUGACAGAACAUAUCUUCUGUCAUGUGCUCAUUCUUCUUCCAAUCAGAAGCAAUGAUGUAAUGUCCUUCACUCUUCAGACGUCGAGCGAUGUGCGAAGCGAUGAAGCCACCAGCACCGGUGAUGGAAAUUCGGAGUUUCUCGGAUGGCCAGUAAGGCUCCCUCUCCAGGGCAUCAUAGGUGUAAGCACCAUAGCUGGUCCCAUCAGUACUUCCCAUUCUGCAUAUGCUCAAUUGAAAAUUUACGCAACUUAUAUAGUACAAAAUAAAUAUAAAAAUUCAAGCUUUCAUGUAUCUAUCUAUCUAUCUAUAUAUAUAUACUACUUUAUCUAGUAAAUCCAAAUUAGCUGAAAAAAUUUACAUUAUCAUCCAUAUAAUUCACCAAAAAAUAUCCUAAUUCAGAACAAAAAUCAAAGAAACAGAUAACUUAAAUCCACCAAAUUUUAAAAAAGAAAAUCUUGCAAAGCAAAUCUUUAUGAACCCAAAAUUUUGUUCACUAAUAGCAGUAACUAAAGCACCAUAAAAACAAAAUCUUUAUGAAUCGACCGUGCUGUAUUUAGAUCUCCGAAAACAAAUAGAGGAAGAGGUGAUAGGGUUUAAACGACCCACACAGUUGAGGCCGUUAAUUUGAGUUGGGUUCUUCAGAACGCAAGGCUACCAGAAUCUUGAAUCAGGGACACGUGUAUCUCUGUUAGAUAAUCGGUAAGGGUUGGUUUGCAGGUCGUACCGGGACCAGCUACGAGAGGAAGAAUUGGUGGUUAGGACGUUCUUAACCACUAUAACCAGCUUAUCGUUUGAAGGAGAAUAUCAAUUUUCGAGGAUCGAUUCUCAACACGGAAUUUACCGAGUCUAAGGCUAAGGCUCAUUACAUUUGAUUGCAAAUCCCAAUUUAAUUUCUGAUUUAUUUAAUUAUUUAUCUUAGCAGUUUUGAUUAUUUAAUUUCUAGUCAAUUUCAAAAUCCCCCGCUUUACUUAUUUAUUUGCUUAUUUUUCAGCUGGUACGUUUUGAGUCGUGGGCACAACUCUAGCCACGACCCUUGACACGACAUUCUGUUUAUAAGCCAAACUCGAAAGUUGAUUAGAGUACCAAUCCCUGUGGACUCGACCCUACUACUACCACUCUUACUACUAUCCAGAGUAUUUAGUAUGAAUUAUAUUUGGUGGAUUUGACGUCCAUCAUUUUCAUUUUCAAAAUAAUUAACAUCAUCAAGUUAAUACAACUUGUUGACUAGACAAGUAAGUUAAAUAAGCACAUAACUAAAUCAGAGGCGAAUAAGUGGGGGCUGGCAGGUCCUUGUCCCCCCUAAAAUGGAAAAUUUCUAUUUAGGCUAUUGAAAUUUUUUUAAAAUUUUAAAUUAAUAAAUGUAAAAUUGUACUUUGCCCCCCUAAAAUUAUAAAAAUUUAACUUAAUCCUUUAAAAAUUAUAAAGAUAUAGACUAUAAAAAAUUAAAAUUUUAUUCGGCCCCCUAAAAAUUUGUUCUAGCUUUACUCCUAAACUGAAUAAAUAAUUAGAAAAUAUCGAAACAAUCGACGAGAAAAUUGAUUAAUUAACUAGGAAAUAUAAUCCAUUAUUGUUUUAAGACAAUAAAAUCUAGUUCGUGUUGAAUUGAGAAAAUCACACAAAAAGAAAUUUAAAACAAACUUGCAUAAAUACAAAGUAAUAAGAAAUAAUAUAGAGAGAAAAAUAGUUAUAGAAUUUAUGCCGAUUACUCCAAACCUCUUUUUCUUCUAUCUUUGCAAUCUUGAAGUUUUUUUUUGGUGUGAGAGAGUUGUUUCUUAGCCUCCAAGUGAUUUCUUUUUCUUUUCCUUCUUUUUUUUCCUUAAAUCUCAUCACAAUGGAUUGCUUGCUAUCAAAUUUCUAAAUUGAAGAGUAUGCAUGGUCCACUGCAUUGAAUUAAAUCCGGUGGAGCGGAAGGCUUCUCUUCACGACUUCUUACUCUAAACUCUAAGUUUUCCAUACUUCAUCCGAGGCCUACAAUAGAAAAAAGAAAAAUUACAAGUGAAUCUAAGUUAACUCUAAAAAUGAUAAAAACAAGCAAAAUUCAAAUAAAAUAUAAUUAAUUCGAAAAACUAUAAGAUAUAAUAAAAAGUAAUCUAAAUGCUAAAUUUACUUUUUACAAUAAAAUAUUAUGAUUGUUUUUGUUUUUCUUUGUUAUUUUUGGUAUAUUUCAUGUUUCUUCUUUUUACUUGAAUUUUGAGAUUUCUUUUAGGUUAUGUUAGAUUAUAUUUUAGAAUUCUUUGACCUAGAUCUUAAGAAUCAAAUAACAUAAUUUUUUUUAAAAAAAUCAGAUCUUAGGACUUAAAUAGGUUAAAGUUUUAUUUUUCUCAUUUAUAUUUUAGGAUUCAAAUAGGUUAAAUUUUACUUUUCUAAUUUAGAUCUUAAGGUUCAAAUAGGGUAGAAAUUUGUUUUUUCUAAUUUAAAUCUUAGGAUUAAAUUUUAUUUUUUCUAAUUCGGUAAACUAAAAAAUAGUCACUUUUGUUUGUCUCAGAUUACAUUUUAGUCACUUAUGUUUGAAAUAUACAUUUUAGUUACUUACAUUAUCGUUUUGUUACGAAGUGAUCACUCUACCGUUAAACUCUGUUACCUCACUAACGACAAUCCUACAUGGCAAUCCAAAUGGGUUUUAAAUGUCAACUUGGAUGUUUAGUUGUUGGGAUAAAAAUAGGUUUUUAAUUAAAUAAAUUUAAUUUAGACUGUGACUAAAACGUAACAUUUCAAACCUAAGUGACUAAAAUGUAAUGUGAAGCAAACAAAAGUAACUAUUUUUAUGGUUUACCCUUUCUAAUUUAAAUCUCAGGAUUUAAACAGGUUAGAAUUUCUUUUUCUUUUUUUUUUUUAAUUUAGAUGCUAGGUUGAUAUAGGUUAACUUUCUCUUUCCCUACUUAGAUCUUAGGCUAUAGAGGUUAGAAUUUUAAUUUUCUAUCAAUUAAAUCAUAGGUUCUUAUAGGUUAGAAUUUAAACUUCCAUUAUUAGGUUAGAAUUAAAAUUGAUUAGCUCUUAGGAUUCAAUGGGUAUUUUGAUUUUUUUUAAUAGUAUUGAAUUUUGAGCCUGUAAUGACAAUAUAUCGCAAAGAAAAGUGAAAGAAAAAUAAAGAAAAUAGAUUUUUACGUGGAAACUUUUCCGGGAAAAAAUUACGGGCAGAUAAAAUGAAAAUCCACUAUGUCGAAUUCAAAUAAUUACAAGAGGAGUAGACUAUGUCUAUUUAUAGGCUUGUAAAAUCAUAUUCUAAAAGGAGUGUAAUAAGUAAUCAAUAUCAAAUAGAUGGAGUUUAAUAAGAUUUAAAAAACCUUAUUCUAAAAUAAAAUAAAAGAAGUGUAGUUUUAUAUGUAGGGGCGUAGCCAGGGGGCUGGCAUGGGCCCCGGCCCCCCUAAAAUAGAAAAUUACAUUUUAGGCCCUUAAAAUUUUUAAAAAUUUUAAAUUAGUAAAGGUAAAAUUGCACUUUGGCCUCCCCUCUAAAAUUAUAAAAAUUCAAUUUAAUCCUUUACAAAUUAUAAAAAUAUAAACUAUAAAAAAUUAAAAUUUCAUCCGGCCCCCCUAAAAAAAUUUUCUGGCUUCGGCCCUGUUUAUAUGGAUUUUACUUUUAUUUUAUUUUACCACUAUAUUUUAUUUAAAUAAAAAUUCGAGUCACUCAAUUCUAACAGAGCUUUUAAAAGGUUAAAUUUCGAUUUAGGAUUAUUGGAGUCAAUUUUGAGAUUUUUGAAUUAGAAAUAUUAAACACCGAAUUUUGUAAGAUUAUCUUUAGACAGGCGUUGUAGGAAUGCUAUAAUCUUUUUUACAUUUAAUUGUACUCUCGAACUUCAAUUUUGAUACGAGCCCGAAUCUAGUUUUUUAAGAUUUUUCCUUAAGAAUAGUUCUAAAAUUGUAGGCAAUAGGCAACUACCUGACUUAGUUUAAGUUGGUUAGUGAUGAUUCUAUUUAUGUUUAGGUUUCAAAUUGUACAUUAAACUAAAAUUAAUGUAUAAUUUAUAAAUCUGAUAUUUAUUUUUAAAUUUUAUUUAAAAUAAUUUUUUAUUUGAUUUUAUAUUAUGUUGUGUAUUCAAAUUUUAAUGGAUUUACAUAUUCGACGAAUAAUAAUACUUAAUUCAAUAUAAGGUUAGUGAGAGUAUACCACAUGCGAGUCCUCAAACUACCCAAGAGGUGCUCAACUAUAGGUUAUAUAUGUGCAUUAUUUGGACAACUUUCCAUGAAUUCGUCAUUGUUCUCUUUUCGAAAUUUAGAGUUUAAACUUUCUAAUUGUUAUUACAUUGUGAUUUAAACUAAUUUUUUAUUAAAUUAAUCUUUAAACUAAUAAUUGCUCCUAUAUUUAAGUCUUAAUUUUUUUCUUUAAGUUAAUAUUUGAAAUUAAUUGUUUUUAAAUUGAGGUUUGAAUUUUCUUUAUUUAACUUUUUUUUUAAAACAAAUAUAAAGGACUAAUUUUGAUAGAAAAAUUUUAAGCUGUGAAAACAAUUUUUAAAUUCAGGGAUAAGAAAAGGUUACAAAACCAAAUUAAAUAUUAAUAAUUGAGCUUUGAAAGAAAUAAUCUCUUAAUAAAAUAGUUUUUAAUUGAUUGAGGAUAGAGUGAUGUAACUCAGUGGAAUCUUUUCGAAGUUAAAAUUGAAGUAAAUGAUUGAAUAGAAUUUAUAAAAGUAUUUUUUUGAAGUUCUUGAGAAAAGUUAAAUGAUAUUUUCAUUAAAAAUUAAGUAAUUACUUAAUUAAUGCAUGACAAUGACUAUAUUGGGCUAUAAGUAACUUGUUUUAGUAGUAUGUUAGUCAAUUCAAAUGAGAGAAAAGAAGAGAUCAAGAACUAUAUUAGAACAAUAAAAACAUACAUUGAUUAAACAAUAGCUACAACUCUAUUCGUCCAAGUAAACACGAUACAAAAUAUGACGCAACACCAUCAUCAACACUGAACCCUCCAUUAAUGACAAUCCAAAGCUUUAGUAUGUUUCUUGGGAAAUCCAUUCAUCCCAACACCCAUGAAACUUUGCUUCUAAACCUAGGCGCUCUUCUUUGGUGGUGUAUUGCCAUAUUUCCAAGUGAAUUGCUUUAAAUCAUCAGGAUAAGUACCCCCUGCAACCUCUUGGAUUGGGAUCGCAUCUGAAAUUUCUUUCAAAUCUUCUUUUGUCAGCUUUACUUUCACUGAUUCAAUGUUGCUGUCUAGAUUUUUAAUCUUGGUUGUUCCUGUAAGAAGUGAAAACAAUGUGUCAAAAGCUUUGGUUUUAAAUCUCAAUGCAAACUGGCCGUUGGUCCAGGAACUUGUAUCGGAGUGUCCAACACGGAUAUGUUCAUUUUCCUAAGGUUUUACAUAUAUCUGGAGGAAUAUGCUAGAAAAGUCUAUGCUAUUUCUGCAGGUUACUAACUUACUCUGACUGUUUUUUCUUCGAGUAUCCGUGUCUAAUACCCAACAUAUUUUGACAUGAGUAUUGAAACAAUCCUCCAAAUAUAUGAAAAACUUCAAAAAAUAUAAGAGUUCACUUAUAUUGUAUCACCUCGGAUUCCGAGUUGAAAGUGAUUGAAUGGGACUUACCGGGAAUAGGAGAAACAUCAUCCCCUUGGUGAAGAACCCAGGCAAGUGCAAGUUGUGCCGGUGUACAUCCAUGCUUUUCAGCCAACUUCUCUACUUUCGAAUAUAGGAUCCUAUUUUGCUCCAAGUUUUCUCCUUGAAACCUUGGGUACACUUCCUUAAAAAAUAAAUGUUUGUAAUGAGUCAACGUUUGUAAUGAGUCAACCGAUCUGUUUUUUACAACUUAGAAGCAUGUUACUAUGUUAUCCGAACUCUUCAUUUUCUUUAAUUACUCAUAUCCAACAUGUCUCUGACACAUAAUUGGAUAUAAGUAUGAGAGUAACAUCCUUCAAAUAAAUGAAAAUGAAACUUAAAAAAAAACUGAAUAUAUUCAUGCCGGACACAUAUCUGUAUCCAACACUUACUCCUGAACCCAUAUAACAUAGAUUAAGUAUAGGUUAAAGCCAUAUAAAGUGAGUUUCCAUACCAGAGAACUAUUCGAGGUAUCCUCCUUUGCUUUACCGGCAAAGAAACCAUGACCAAGGGGACUAUAUGCAACAAUCCCAAUUCCGAGUUCCCUGUAUUGUUGAACACAUUUAGGCAGGCAUAACCUCACAGCAGUUGAAGGAGUUAAAACAGUUGAUAACUUGAGAAAAGACAAUCAAUAAGUGAAUUUCAAUAUAUUUGAGCAAAAGGGUAUAUUUAUAUCCCUCCAAAUAUAUAAAAAUUUGAAUAUAUCUAUAUUCGAAUAAAAAAAAAAGUUAACGAUGAUUGAAGAUAGAAGAACAAACCUGCAAAG
rnacentral:lncRNA from 1 species